CGACCGGCGCACGGGUGAGUAACGCGUACCAACCUUCCAUAACUAAAGGAAUACCCCGUAGAAAUGCGGCCUAAUCCCUUAUGGCCUCUUAUGCCUGUCAUGGGAAUAAGAGUAAAGAUUUAUCGGUUAUGGAUGGGGAUGCGUCUGAUUAGCUUGCUGGCGGGGUAACGGCCCACCAGGGCAUCGAUCAGUAGGGGUUCUGAGAGGAAGGUCCCCCACAUUGGAACUGAGACACGGUCCAAACUCCUACGGGAGGCAGCAGUGAGGAAUAUUGGUCAAUGGGCGAGAGCCUGAACCAGCCAAGUAGCGUGCAGGAUGACGGCCCUAUGGGUUGUAAACUGCUUUUUAAGGGGAAUAAAGAGGGACACGCGUGUCCUGUUGCAUGUACCC
rnacentral:rRNA from 1 species